UACGAAGGGGGCUAGCGUUGCUCGGAAUCACUGGGCGUAAAGGCGCGUAGGCGGCCAUUCAAGUCGGGGGUGAAAGCCUGUGGCUCAACCACAGAAUUGCCUUCGAUACUGUUUGGCUUGAGUUUGGUAGAGGUUGGUGGAACUGCGAGUGUAGAGGUGAAAUUCGUAGAUAUUCGCAAGAACACCAGUGGCGAAGGCGGCCAACUGGACCAACACUGACGCUGAG
rnacentral:rRNA from 1 species